AUUGAACGCUGGCGGCAUGCCUUACACAUGCAAGUCGAGCGGUAACAGGUUAAGCUGACGAGUGGCGAACGGGUGAGUAAUGUAUCGGAACGUGCCCAGUCGUGGGGGAUAACUGCUCGAAAGAGCAGCUAAUACCGCAUACGACCUGAGGGUGAAAGCGGGGGAUCGCAAGACCUCGCGCGAUUGGAGCGGCCGAUAUCAGAUUAGGUAGUUGGUGAGGUAAAGGCUCACCAAGCCGACGAUCUGUAGCUGGUCUGAGAGGACGACCAGCCACACUGGGACUGAGACACGGCCCAGACUCCUACGGGAGGCAGCAGUGGGGAAUUUUGGACAAUGGGCGCAAGCCUGAUCCAGCCAUGCCGCGUGCGGGAAGAAGGCCUUCGGGUUGUAAACCGCUUUUGUCAGGGAAGAAAAGGUUCUGGCUAAUACCUGGGACUCAUGACGGUACCUGAAGAAUAAGCACCGGCUAACUACGUG
rnacentral:rRNA from 1 species